CCUGGCUCACGAUGAACGCUGGCGGCGUGCUUAACACAUGCAAGUCGAACGAAGCGAUUUAGCGGAAGUUUUCGGAUGGAAGCUGGAUUGACUGAGUGGCGGACGGGUGAGUAACGCGUGGGUAACCUGCCUCACACUGGGGGACAACAGUUAGAAAUGACUGCUAAUACCGCAUAAGCGCACAGGACCGCAUGGUCCGGUGUGAAAAACUCCGGUGGUGUGAGAUGGACCCGCGUUUGAUUAGCUAGUUGGUGGGGUAACGGCCUACCAAGGCGACGAUCAAUAGCCGACCUGAGAGGGUGACCGGCCACAUUGGGACUGAGACACGGCCCAAACUCCUACGGGAGGCAGCAGUGGGGAAUAUUGCACAAUGGGGGAAACCCUGAUGCAGCGACGCCGCGUGAGUGAAGAAGUAUUUCGGUAUGUAAAGCUCUAUCAGCAGGGAAGAAAAUGACGGUACCUGACUAAGAAGCCCCGGCUAACUACGUGCCAGCAGCCGCGGUAAUACGUAGGGGGCAAGCGUUAUCCGGAUUUACUGGGUGUAAAGGGAGCGUAGACGGUAAAGCAAGUCUGAAGUGAAAGCCCGGGGCUCAACCCCGGGACUGCUUUGGAAACUGUUUAACUAGAGUGCUGGAGAGGUAAGCGGAAUUCCUAGUGUAGCGGUGAAAGCGUAGAUAUUAGGAGGAACACCAGUGGCGAAGGGCGCUUACAGGACAGUAACUGACGUUGAGGAUCGAAAGCGUGGGGAGCAAACAGGAAAAGAUACCCUGGUAGUCCACGCCGUAAUCGAUGAAUACUAGGUGUUGGGGGACAAAGUCCUUCGGUGCCGUCGCAAACGCAAUAAGUAUUCCACCUGGGGAGUACGUUCGCAAGAAUGAAACUCAAAGGAAUUGACGGGGACCCGCACAAGCGGUGGAGCAUGUGGUUUAAUUCGAAGCAACGCGAAGAACCUUACCAAAUCUUGACAUCCCUCUGACCGGCGAGUAAUGUCGCCUUUCCUUCGGGACAGAGGAGACAGGUGGUGCAUGGUUGUCGUCAGCUCGUGUCGUGAGAUGUUGGGUUAAGUCCCGCAACGAGCGCAACCCUUAUCCUAAGUAGCCAGCGGUUUGGCCGGGCACUCUUGGGAGACUGCCAGGGAUAACCUGGAGGAAGGUGGGGAUGACGUCAAAUCAUCAUGCCCCUUAUGAUUUGGGCUACACACGUGCUACAAUGGCGUAAACAAAGAGAGGCGAGACCGCGAGGUGGAGCAAAUCUCAAAAAUAACGUCUCAGUUCGGACUGCAGGCUGCAACUCGCCUGCACGAAGCUGGAAUCGCUAGUAAUCGCGAAUCAGAAUGUCGCGGUGAAUACGUUCCCGGGUCUUGUACACAC
rnacentral:rRNA from 1 species